GGAAAAGUUCUUUGCUCCUGGUGCCAUACUCUUUUCUCUAUUCAGUCUUCUCUUGUAUUUUUUAUAAGGUUUAUUAAACCUUUCUAAAUUUAUGGAAGUGAGUAGACACUCACAUUGGGGACUCGUCCAGGAUUAAACACCUCGCCCCGGUGGUGCUAGGAGUUUUCAAAGAAGCGUGCCCGUGACACAUGUUUGGCGGAUUCUAUCGGACUCUUGUAGGAUCACCGGUGGCCGCAGGCUGGAAACCCGGAGACAACAGGAGGCUGGAUAAAGAAAAGAGAGGAAGGGUGAGCUAGCCAAGCUGCACCGGGCCAGAAGCAGGCCUCAGCCGAGCUGUACCAGGCAGGGCGGGGAUCGGAGUGUGGCCGUGGGAUGGAAGACCCCAGGAUCGUAGGUGUUUUUCGGAAGAGAGGAAUUCGGUGAUGAUUAAGUCAUGGAGAGAUCAACCUCUAACUCCUCAGUGAGAAGGUCCCUUCCAGGUACUGCUCACUACUGAAUCGGCCAUGCGAACUGCAGAGCGAUGAUGGACUCAUGUCAACAGAGUUAAAGGCCCAGUAGAGGAACCCAAAGAAUGGACUAUAACAUCCAGGCCAGGGAAAAUGAGAUUGACUCUCAAGCAGAGACCAAGAGACAACCAGAAAAACACCAAGAUGCCCAAAAAGUAGAGUCAAACUUCCACCAACCAGCUCACAAAGUGUUUCCCUGUUUUAAUGGGUGAGAAUUACCAGCAUCUGUUGAGGGAAAGUACACAAGGGACUGUAAAAGGCAAUCAGACAGCUUUUUUAAGAAAAUAAGAUAAAGGAAUGAGGGCAAGACCAGGUUGGCCCCUUUGCUUGCUACCAAGAAGACUCCAUAGCCCUGCUGUGGGUGGCAACCCUGUAGACAUAGUAAGGCCCGAAUGGACCUCUAUAAUUCCCCAACUGUCUUUGAAUACAAAAGGAACUGGAGGGCAAGACAGAAUUGUCCUCUUUACUUACCACUAAGAUGCACCUGCAACUCCAUAGGCAAGGUAGAUGGGGGUAAAAGCCAUACCGGACCUCUGUAAGGUCCUUUUCUUCAUUCCAGAUAAGGGUGUCUAGGGAAAUUUUGUGUUUCUUUUCCCUUUGGUUCCCUCUGUCCUUGCCCACAUCAACAGAUGCUAGUAUGACUCAUUGAGUUAAAUUGUUCUAGCCAAAUAACUUGUGGAAAAGCAAAAGGGGGGAUUGUAAUAGAUGAGUAAUGCGAUGAUUGACUCACAAUUAAAUGCAAAUAUCGUAUAUAUGUUAAGAAAUUUCUAUAGAUUUAUAGUUAUGUUUUGCCCCCUUGAGUUGUUAUCAGGGGACUGCCUGGGUUUGGGACAUUUGGGAGGGUCGGCUUGUCACCAUGGCAACACCUGACCUCCAAUCAAGAUUUAAGGAAGUAAACUCCACCACUGGACAGCGAAGAAGAGUUGAUGGACAGAACUUUGGGAGGGGCUAAAGGGUUAAAAGGCGAAACCUCCACUGUGUGGAUGAGCAUAUGGUAGGAAAAGUCCUUUGCUCCUGGUGCCGUAAUCUUUUCUCUAUUCAGUCUUCUCUUGUAUUUUUUUAUAAGGUUUAAUAAACCUUUCUAAAUUUAUGGGAGUGAGUAGACUCUCAUUCACACUGCCUGCAAAGAUUGCAUAUUAUAUGAUUGGCUCUUUCCAAAUAUUAAAAUUAAUAGUAUAUGCGUUAUGUUGGAAAGUUAUGCUGUAUUAAUGUCUUUUAAGUAGUGUGGUAAAUACAGUUUUUAGGCUAUAGCAUAAUAUGAAAAUAGAAACUAUGUGAUGUAAGAUACUUCUGUAACUAGCUCAAGGAAUGGAUAAGAUAAUAAAGAAAUUCUUUGCAUUAUCCUAUCUGGAUAGUGAUAACAGAAACAAGACACCAAGAUUCCAAGAAAAUAAUUAUUGCCUCCUUAUUGGGAAAGCUCAGACUUCAAGGAACCAAGAAGAUUGAUUUACAAGAUGGGGGGGGGAGCUAAAAUUAAGCAGAAACACCCUAGUGUGAAAGGAAUGUUUGAAUCAUGUAUGAGAUAUACUAGUAUGCAAUAGGCUAUUGCUUUUAAGGGGUAAUCCUUUGUUAGCAAGGUGUGCUUUGUGGCAGAGUGCAAGGCACCCGGACAUCCAUAAUUCUUUGCUUUUUAUUGUCUCUUAUUGUCCUAAUUUUCGUUACUAUUUUCAUUAAUAUUAAACUUCUAAAAUUUUAACACAAGUGAAUGGUGUUUUUCACACUGCAUAUUGUCACGAUCUGCUAGUACAAGCGGGGGUCAUGAUGGUUCAUUAACUGAUCUCAGCGUGCAAAACACAACACAGAGGGGAUUUCAGUAUUAAUCAAAACAAAUGUACCUUUUAUUGAGUGCCCACAGCAAAUGCAAUAGAAGGAUUAGAAAGGAGAUAAAGGAUAGAUAGAGAGAGAAGAAGAAGGGGGGGGGGGGGGGGUAUAGCUGCCAAUGGAGAGAUUAAAUCCUCGUGGUCCAGCCAAUAGAUCUGUCUUGUCACGUUGGGGAGAAUAUCAAAGUCUUUGGUUAACUCAGGGGUCUUUUAUUGUCCUCCCUCGGGAGGGGAACAGGUAGAGGACAGUGGAGAAUAAGUCUGUUGAGAACAAGUACAGACAGACCAGGUCCGAAACAGGACAAACCAGUUCCAGCAGUGAGCAGGACCCAUCGUUUCAGGACUGGUUUCUAUGAGAAACCUGUCUUGGUCCAGCGAACACAUCUGCAGGCAACAAUUGGCAGACAUCCCUCUUCAG